UACGUAGGGGGCAAGCGUUGUCCGGAUUUAUUGGGCGUAAAGAGCGUGUAGGCGGCCACACAGGUCAGCUGUGAAAACUCGAGGCUCAACCUCGAGACGUCGGUUGAAACCGUAUGGCUAGAGUCCGGAAGAGGAGAGUGGAAUUCCCGGUGUAGCGGUGAAAUGCGCAGAUAUCAGGAAGAACACCUAUGGCGAAGGCAGCUCUCUGGGACGGUACUGACGCUGAGACGCGAAAGCGUGGGGAGCGAACAGG
rnacentral:rRNA from 1 species